AUAAUACUAAGGUGCAAUUUAAAGGAAAAGUAAACGAUGAUCCAUCAUCAACUCUACGUUAGAAUGAUAGAUUAGCAGGUAAAUAUGUAUGUGAACUUCAGAUUAUGCUGGGUUUACACUCCUUU
rfam:Xenorhabdus vietnamensis strain DSM 22392 Xvie_2, whole genome shotgun sequence.